rnacentral:misc_RNA from 1 species
AAGUCGUAACAAGGUUUCCGUAGGUGAACCUGCGGAAGGAUCAUCAAUAAGAUUGAUUGAAGCCGUUUGCUGUGUCUUUCCGGGUGCCGCGGCCAGGCCUCUUGUGGUCUGAACUCUUCUUGAGCAAAGCUCUGAUCACAUUUUGUGCGAUGGUAUCCACCACUCGGUGAUGACUACCAGGCAUCGAAAAACACAACUUUUGACAACGGAUCUCUUGGCUCUC